UACGUAGGGUGCAAGCGUUAAUCGGAAUUACUGGGCGUAAAGCGUGCGCAGGCGGUUUUGUAAGUCUGUCGUGAAAGCCCCGGGCUCAACCUGGGAAUUGCGAUGGAGACUGCAAGGCUAGAGUGUGUCAGAGGGGGGUAGAAUUCCACGUGUAGCAGUGAAAUGCGUAGAUAUGUGGAGGAACACCGAUGGCGAAGGCAAUCCCCUGGGCCUGCACUGACGCUCAUGCACGAAAGCGUGGGGAGCAAACAGG
rnacentral:rRNA from 1 species